GGUGCUGAAGAAGCUGAUGGUGGUGAGGGCAACAUGAGAAAGCACAGAAGAGUGGUGUCUGAUACGGAAGAAGAUGAGCAGCAGCACAACAGUCACAAUGUGGCCUCCACAGAACCAGGCCAGGACAGCAGACAGGUGGAGCCAGAGGACGGUAACGUGAAUCAGAAGUCUGUGAGAUUCGGCAGUUUUGAACAGCAUGGAUCAUCUCUGAGUGAACAAAAUGAGAAGACUCCAGAUAAUCCUAUUCCGCCUCCAUGUCCAUGCAUAGAGAAAAGGGCACUGCCCUCCAGCACAAUUUCACAUUUUAAGCCUGCAAAGGCCUUGAAGUUUGACAUCCCAAAAGAAAAUCUACAAAUCAGCGAUGAAAUGGAAGAUCCGAUAGUGGGUGUGGCCAUGAGAAUAGUGGAAGACCGACACAGAGUCCGUGGAACGACAGAGAGAGGAAAGAAUGGCGAUGUGGCCAGCCCUGGGACCGCAGGGAGUGGGUCAGGGCAGAUUCGCGAUUGCCGCGGCUUGGUGCCUGAGGUGGAUGAUCGAGUGGAAAGGGUUGUGGGUGAGGUGAUUGCGGCAGAUGUCAAAAUGGUCUAUGUCUGCCCUGCGAAGCAUGAGAUUGACCGUGUAAACGAAGAUCCAGUGAAAGUGAAAUGCAAUGAAUGUGACAUCCACUACAAAAAAACAAAAAUGACCGUCCUCCUCGAGGGAACCAUUAUGAUUGAACGUGACCAUGGAAAGAGGUUCAAACUAAAUGACAGAAUUCUUAGGUCAUUCAUAGAUUGUGACUCUGUAGGAAUAAAUUCUAUUACCGAUCAACUACUUUAUUCAAAAUCUGUCAUCUUGACAAUUUAGAAUAAC